UAUGCCAGCGCCCGUGUUGGUUCAGACGUCCCCGUUGCAGAGUGUCACCUACGUAGUUGUGGGAAAAUGCACACAGAAGUGCGAAUUGUUUCAUCCAAGUGACCUCUCAGGUCUCCAUGAAAUGUCUAAUGCAAAAGAAAGAAAACAUGCUAAGAAAAUGAGAAACCAGCCCACGAAUGUGACUCUAGCCUCUGGCUUUGGGGCUGACAGAGGUGGAAGGCAUCAUUUUGGAGGAGGGAGACCUUCCCAGUCUCAAAAACAAGAGCUCCAUUCUGGAACCUCACAGCAGUGGCAAGUCAAGACGGGCACCCACGUGCUUCCCGAGUGGGCUG